ACCAUUUUGAUUAUUAGACCGGUUUUGUAAGCAUGUGCUAUAUAUUUCAACUUUCGGCCAGUUGUGUGGCGUACCGGACUGGAAGAGAUUCAUCAACGAAGGGCAAGUGUGGAUUUAUAGCCAUACACGUGGCAAUAAUAAGGAGCUUAGUUGCUUUUUUUUUUUUAGUUUUUAGUUUGUCGCGAGUUUCACACUUUUCAGUUUUCACAGAGUAUAAUCCACUGUGGUCGACACACCGUAUUCUCUGUGGACCCGGUUUUCGCAAUUUUCCCCAAUUUCCUGAAUUUCGGUUUGUCUUUUGUCACAAUCUGACAACGCCAUCGCUGCAAUGCCUUCCACCACCGUAUCGGCAAUACCCCCGGUAUCUUUCUCUCACAAAGCUUCUCUCAUGUUCGGAGAUCAAUUUUUCUUCUUGUCCACUCGUCACAACUCCUAUUCUCACUUUCCAUCGCUUUCGAUUUUAAUGGAUAUCUCUUGAAACUCUCGGUCCAUCUUCUCUUCGGCCAUACUCUGAAAUUGGAUUCUAAUUUGUCGCAAUUUUAUAAAUUUGAUGGAAGAACCUGAAACAAGAUUCACAAAGUUCCAGAAUCCACGAGGUGAGAUUAUGCCGUUUGAGAAAAUCUACAUGUGAGAUUUAUGCAACCAUACAAUGCACUCUGAGUGAUUGAUCAACCAUGUAGUGGAAAACUAUGGGAUUUGAUCCCUCAAGAGGUGGAAACCAAGAGACAAUUGAAGUGACUUUAAUAAAGAGAUCUUCAAAUUGCAGGAUUGGGCUGAAUCUUCCUAGACCUCACAGCCACAACGCUUGCCAUAGGGUCCCAAAUCAAAAGCUUCGUCAGAUCUACUCGCAACCACGCUCACGAAAAAAGUCAUCAAAAAUCAAAACCCAAAACAAAGAGAUCUAUGGAAUUCUACAUGAUUCGUUACAGGUUUGAGUUGAAAUCAAGAAUAGCUACUCUUUUACUUUGAUUUUACAUGUCUCUCGUUUAAUCUUCCUCUCAAUCGAUCUAUUUGGAGACAUUUCUACUUCUAUCUAUGUUUUGAUUCAUACGGUUUAGUCUUCCUCCUAUGUAUCUCUCAAACAUAUUUUUACGAAUCUUAAUUUGAUUGUUGUUAUUUGACCAA